UACGAAGGGGGCUAGCGUUGCUCGGAAUCACUGGGCGUAAAGGGUGCGUAGGCGGGUUCUUAAGUCAGAGGUGAAAUCCUGGAGCUCAACUCCAGAACUGCCUUUGAUACUGAGAGUCUUGAGUUCGGGAGAGGUGAGUGGAACUGCGAGUGUAGAGGUGAAAUUCGUAGAUAUUCGCAAGAACACCAGUGGCGAAGGCGGCCUCACUGGCCCGAUACUGACGCUGAGGCACGAAAGCGAUGGGG
rnacentral:rRNA from 1 species